CCAUAGCGUGCCAUCUACCGAGUGAACAAUAAACUACGGGGCGAGCGCGGAACGGGUCAGCCGUUCCCCGGAUGUUGUCAGCGGCUCGCAACACUAGUGUGCCCGUGACGAGCUCGAUCUUUUUGUUUUGCGCGGUUAAACUGUUAUCUUAAGCCGCUAUGCUGUCAAGUGAGCAAGAAGCAGCACUGCUGCUAGCUCUUCUGGCAAGCAGCAGCCUUGCAAUGCAUAAAGAAGAGGAAAAAACGUCGCUGAAGCAACGACGACGCCAGUUACGUUGUUGGGUCCGGCCUGCUUUGCAGGAACGCGCCAACCUUGGUCAGGCCAACAAACUGCUACCUCUUCUACGAGAUCGAGACGUGGAGUUUUACCGACAGUACAUCAGGAUGCCUCCACGUACUUUUGACACGCUGUUGCACCUUGUGAAACAUCAUAUUGAAAAAAAGGACACCAACUUCCGGAAGGCAAUCAGUCCCGAGCACCGACUUGCACAAACUUUGAGUGUGCCAGGUGCUCUGGGAUGUACUUGGUCCUAUAUACGUUGCCCGUCCAUCAAGUGCAGGCGAGUGGCUACAGAUUGCAAAAGAGUUUGAGGAAAGUUGGAACAUGCCCCACUGUGUGGGUGCAAUUGAUGGAAAACACACCAAAUCGGGAAGUGAGGACUAUAACUACAAACACUUCUUCAGUAAAUCGAUGCUUGCUGUCAGCGACGCCUGCUACAGGUUCAUUUAUGUGGAGAUUGGGCACCAUGGGAGCAAUUCAGAUGGUGGAGUAUUCAGCGAAAGCCAACUGCCUCAUAUUAUCUUUUCGAAGAAUGAAGGAUUUCCCCCUGAUGCACCACUGGGGAACAUUGGCCGCAUUCCUUUCUACCUGGUCGGAGAUGAAGCGUUUCCUUUGAAGACAUACUUGAUGCGGCCGUAUCCUCGGAAAGUCAAGUUGCUCCUUUGAUUUCUUUUAGUACUGGAGUGCAUUGCUCUAUGCUAUUAAUCUAAGGUGGUUCAGUACACUGAAAUCACUGUAGUGACAAGCAGCCGAAACAUGAUGCCAUAACUAAACGCAGUGAUUGGUUUAUGUUAGAGGCUCUAAAGCACUUCACCACAUAUUGGCGCUUCUCCUUGAAAGUAUGUUUCUUUUCUCUGUGGAAGUAUAUUUUUGAUCAACUUUCAUGAACAUGAAACAAAAACAUGGCACAAUGUGUUCAUUGAUCGUGUGCCUAUGUGUUCUGUGCUGCGUUACUGUGAAGCUCUAUCAGGAUGACGUGUUUUUCAUGUAGGUGCGGGGAUAACCAUUUAUGCAGGUCUUCAACCGUUCCUCACUUCAACACCUGAAGAGGCAUCUCAAGGAGAAAAAACCAACUGCGAACCUAUCGCCUUUGCGGAGGCACACAGCAAAAGGAUUUUCAAUUACCGCCUAAGCCGAGCCCGUCGGGUGAUCGAAAAUGCAUUUGGCAUAAUGGCUCAAAGAUGGCGUAUCCUGCGGCGUUCUUUCAAAGCCAAAGACGAUAACAUCCGGCGAAUUAUCUCCGCAUGCGUGGUCCUUCACAAUUUCAUGAUGAAAGAGUGGGAGACAUCUCGGUGCGCCUACUGCUCUCCAGGGACAGCUGAUCAGGUUGACUGGCAGGGUAACAUCACCGAAGGCAACUGGAGGGCUGAUGACACCAGCAGUGCUGCUCUGCCAUCUCUACCGAAGACUGGCUGCCACGCCACAAGGUUUGCUUACGAAAUGCGGGACCUCCUGGCAAAGCACUUCAUCACCAACGGCAAGGUGCCUUGGCAAGAGAGCAAGAUAAUGGACACAAGACUGUACAGUGGUGUUGCACCGGACAAAGAUGCAGGUUGUUCUAGAGGCUCAUCCAAGAUGACUGUGACAUAUUUGUCGUAGUCGACCUGGCCCUCAUCUGCGUUGCCACUGCUGCUGUUACUUGCAGGCGCCGGACUCCGCUCACCUGAUGCUCUAUGUGAAACGUCGGAAAGAUGAACUCGCGUGAAACAUUUGUGAUGUGGAGAAAGUAACAUUUUAUCAAUGAGAUAUAAUUAUUGUUGGUGAAUGUCGCAAAAGCACAAUAAUAUUACGAGAUGAGAUACUGCUUAAACUUUAUUUUCUGAAUGCACAAGUGGUGUUAACUUUAUCAGGUAACAUGCUUUUGCACUGCAAGCCUUAUUUGCUUGACUCAUAAAAAAGUGCACCUCACAACGUUCACUUUUGCGACAUCCAUUCCUUCACGCGUUCAUUUGAUUGUUAGCGUCUUUGGUAUGCAUGCAGAAAAUGGCUUUUUAGGUGAUAGCAAUUGUUUUCAUCAUCUUCUUAGCACCCUUAUGCAUUUUCCUGCUGGCAAAGUUAAUUUGGUACCUGUCUUACAACUCACCGAUCGGGAUUGAUGAACCCUACGUUUGUAGAAAUGCUGGAAAAUAUUAACAUUUUUUUAGUUAUGCUACAGCAAUCAGGCCUUAAAAAAUUUCAAUGAGCAAGUUAUGCAGUACGCUGUGUUCUUCUUAUAAACAUUUACUAAUCAAAUAUGUUAAUGUCAUCUGGUGUAAUUGCUUCCUCAUUGUAGUCUUUACGAUUUUGUAAAUAAAAGUAUGCUGAUUUAUUUGUUAAGCUUAUUUGACAUCAACAAGCAGUGAGGCCAGUGCAUCAGUAACUAUGAAACGUUUACUUUGUGCUUUGCAUUUCGUGUGUACGUGUUCACUGAUGUGUCACUCUGAAAAUUGCUCAACAGCAUAACUACUAAGCUCAGAAUUUUAUGCAGUAGUUAUCUACCAUUCUAUCAGCUCAUCGUGGCUGCAAUAUUUGUUCUCAGCUGACGUAUUUUGUUGUAGGGGCAAUAAUGAAUUCUUGAUUUGUUGUGCAAGUAAACAAACUGUGAUUUUCUUUUUAGCAUGUGCAAUUGUGGCCGGCAGUUCUGCAUACAGGAGAAAAGUAUGUCUUUGUGUUGUUUUUUUUGAAGUUGUGUACACUUUCAUUGCAUUGAUUGAUUUAUAAAAAAUAAAAAGUAUCACAAAAUUUGGCUUA
rnacentral:misc_RNA from 1 species